rnacentral:rRNA from 1 species
UACGUAGGGUGCGAGCGUUAAUCGGAAUUACUGGGCGUAAAGCGUGCGCAGGCGGUUAUGUAAGACAGAUGUGAAAUCCCCGGGCUCAACCUGGGAACUGCAUUUGUGACUGCAUGGCUAGAGUACGGUANAGGGGGAGUGGAAGUUCCGCGUGUAGCAGUGAAAUGCGUAGAUAUGCGGAGGAACACCGAUGGCGAAGGCAAUCCCCUCGGACCGUGUACUGACGCUCAUGCACGAAAGCGUGGGGAGCGAAACAGGAUUAGAUACCCUGGUAGU